rnacentral:rRNA from 1 species
GACGAACGCUGGCGGCGUGCUUAACACAUGCAAGUCGAGCGGUAAGGCCCUUUCGGGGGUACACGAGCGGCGAACGGGUGAGUAACACGUGGGUGACCUGCCCUCAGCUCUGGGAUAAGCCUGGGAAACCGGGUCUAAUACUGGAUAUGACUCCAUGACGCAUGUUGUGGGGUGGAAAGCCUUGUGCGGCUGAGGAUGGGCCCGCGGCCUAUCAGCUUGUUGGUGGGGUGANGGCCUACCAAGGCGACGACGGGUAGCCGGCCUGAGAGGGCGACCGGCACACUGGGACUGAGACACGGCCCAGA